GAUGAACGCUGGCGGCGUGCCUAAUACAUGCAAGUCGAGCGAACGGACGAGAAGCUUGCUUCUCUGAUGUUAGCGGCGGACGGGUGAGUAACACGUGGAUAACCUACCUAUAAGACUGGGAUAACUUCGGGAAACCGGAGCUAAUACCGGAUAAUAUUUUGAACCGCAUGGUUCAAAAGUGAAAGACGGUCUUGCUGUCGCUUAUAGAUGGAUCCGCGCUGCAUUAGCUAGUUGGUAAGGUAACGGCUUACCAAGGCAACGAUGCAUAGCCGACCUGAGAGGGUGAUCGCCCACACUGGAACUGAGACACGGUCCAGACUCCUACGGGAGGCAGCAGUAGGGAAUCUUCCGCAAUGGGCGAAAGCCUGACGGAGCAACGCCGCGUGAGUGAUGAAGGUCUUCGGAUCGUAAAACUCUGUUAUUAGGGAAGAACAUAUGUGGAAGUAACUGUGCACAUCUUGACGGUACCUAAUCAGAAAGCCACGGCUAACUACGUG
rnacentral:rRNA from 1 species